GUCCUUCUUGUUGUCAGCGCCAGUUGUUUAAGCAGAAGAUUGAGCAGCUGAAGGAAGAGGUAUGUAUGUGUUUAUGUGUAUAUAUGUGUGAGAACUGACAUCGUAACAUUUUCCCUUGAUCUGUUAAAAAAAAGUACUGUCAUUUUUCAGUUUUAUUUAUUCUACAAAAAAGAGUUCUCUAGCUAUGAUAAUAGCUAGUUUAAAAUAACGACCUUCUCAAUUAACCAUCAAAAUUUGUAUUUUCUUGCCACCACUUUUAAACUAAUACUCCAUACUAACUAAUUAUUUUCAGGCCUAAAUAUGAAAAAAAAUAAAAUUCAACUUUAAUAUUUGCAGAUUUUAAAAAUGAUACUCUUUUUUGUGAAACAAAUCAUGGAGUACGUACUAUAUAGAAAGUGUACAGGUUAUACACACAGGAUAAACACUAUAACUAAUAUUUAUUACCUUGAUCAUAACAAAUUCAGGAGAGAAACUUGGCUAAAGAAAAUGCAGAAUUACAGAAGAAGGUUGGUUUCUUACUUCAGUAGUGUUACAUAUUCCAUUUAUAUAUAUAUAUAUAUAUAUAUAUAUAUAUAUAUAUAUAUAUGAUCAUCGUGCUUAAUGGAUAAUAAUUUUAGUAUAUACUUCCUCCGUCUAACUUAAUACUAAUACAAUGUAAAUUAUUUUUGACAGGCCGUACCCAAAAUCAUCAUAUUAUUGCUUACAAUUUUCAUUCAACCCUUGGUUCCACAUGUGUACUAACCUCAUAUUUUAAUUGAUUUCAGUGUAAUGAGUUGCAAAAAAUUCCCCUGGAAAUUACAUGGCAAGAAGUGCUGAAUACAGAAAUUCAAAUUCCAGAUGUGGAGACAGAAUUGUUUAUAGGGUCGCCUAAAAUAUGAAAUGAGAUCAUCUAAUUUAUAAUCUGCUGAGAGGUGGCUAUAUAUACACACACACA
rnacentral:lncRNA from 1 species